AUGGCGCUGCGGUGGGCGCUGCUUAGAUCGGCGGAGAUCUCUCCCGGUCGCAAGGCUGCACUUGAGUACUUGCAUUCUCUAUCAAAGGCACAGCCUACUCGUUCUAUCUCAUGUACUGGCCUGCAUCCUGCUGGCAGAUCAUUCAGCACCCAGGCUGCUACUACAUCAAGCACACCACAGCCUCCACCACCACCCCCACCUCCAGAGAAGACUCACUUUGGUGACCUUAAAGAUGAAGAUCGUAUUUUCACCAACCUCUAUGGUCUUCAUGACCCUUUCCUGAAAGGUGCAAUGAAGAGAGGUGACUGGUAUAGAACCAAGGAUUUAGUGAUUAAAGGGGCAGACUGGAUAGUGAAUGAAAUGAAGAAAUCAGGUCUACGAGGGCGCGGAGGUGCAGGUUUUCCGUCUGGCCUCAAAUGGUCCUUCAUGCCCAAAGUGUCUGAUGGACGCCCUUCUUAUCUUGUUGUUAAUGCUGAUGAGAGUGAACCAGGAACUUGUAAAGACAGGGAAAUCAUGCGUCAUGACCCCCACAAGCUUCUGGAAGGGUGCCUGAUUGCUGGAGUUGGAAUGAGGGCAUCAGCUGCUUACAUCUACAUUCGAGGUGAAUAUGUGAAUGAGCGUCUGAACCUUGAGAAAGCUCGGCAGGAAGCAUAUGCAUCAGGACUUCUUGGUAAGAACGCUUGCGGGUCAGGCUAUGAUUUUGAUGUACAUAUACAUUUUGGUGCUGGUGCCUACAUUUGUGGUGAAGAGACUGCCCUACUGGAGAGCCUUGAAGGCAAGCAGGGUAAACCAAGGCUGAAACCACCUUUCCCUGCCAAUGCUGGGCUGUAUGGCUGCCCCACAACUGUCACAAAUGUUGAAACUGUUGCUGUGUCUCCAACAAUUCUUAGGCGUGGCCCAGAAUGGUUUGCGAGUUUUGGACGCAAGAAUAACUCGGGAACAAAACUUUACUGCAUCUCAGGUCAUGUGAACAAACCUUGUACCGUUGAGGAGGAAAUGAGUAUACCUCUGAAGGAAUUGAUCGAGAAGCACUGUGGAGGUGUGAGAGGAGGAUGGGACAACCUGCUUGCAGUUAUCCCUGGCGGUUCAUCUGUUCCUCUGUUGCCAAAGCACAUAUGUGAUGACGUGUUGAUGGACUAUGAUGCACUAAAGGCUGUACAGUCCGGAUUAGGCACUGCAGCAGUUAUGGUGAUGGACAAAUCCACAGAUGUAGUUGAUGCGAUUGCUAGACUGUCAUACUUCUAUAAGCAUGAGAGCUGUGGGCAGUGCACGCCUUGCCGUGAGGGUACAGGAUGGCUCUGGAUGAUCAUGGAGAGGCUCAAAGUGGGCAAUGCAAAGCUAGAAGAGAUCGAUAUGCUUCAGGAGGUGACGAAGCAGAUUGAAGGCCACACGAUCUGCGCCCUCGGGGAUGCUGCAGCAUGGCCUGUGCAGGGUCUUAUCAGGCACUUCAGGCCUGAGCUGGAAAGGAGGAUCCGCGAUCGAGCUGAUAGCGAGCUGCUGAUGGCAGCUUCUGCAUGA
rnacentral:rRNA from 1 species